AGAGUUUGAUCCUGGCUCAGGAUGAACGCUGGCGGCGUGCUUAACACAUGCAAGUCGAACGGACCCAUAUUGAAACCUAGUGAUAUAUGGGUUAGUGGCGGACGGGUGAGUAACGCGUGGGUAACCUGCCUUACACAGGGGGAUAACACUUAGAAAUAGGUGCUAAAACCGCAUAAGCGCACAGCUUCGCAUGAAGCGGUGUGAAAAACUCCGGUGGUGUAAGAUGGACCCGCGUCUGAUUAGCUUGUUGGCGGGGUAACGGCCCACCAAGGCGACGAUCAGUAGCCGGCCUGAGAGGGCGGACGGCCACAUUGGGACUGAGACACGGCCCAGACUCCUACGGGAGGCAGCAGUGGGGAAUAUUGCACAAUGGGGGAAACCCUGAUGCAGCGACGCCGCGUGAGUGAAGAAGUAAUUCGUUACGUAAAGCUCUAUCAGCAGGGAAGAAAUACUGACCUUACGGUCAGCAGACGGUACCUGAGUAAGAAGCCCCGGCUAACUACGUG
rnacentral:rRNA from 1 species